ensembl:lncRNA
ACUCAGGUCCUUGCACUUGCGCAGCAGGCGGCGAAACCACUGAGCAAAAUCCCCAGCCCUGGAAUUCAUUUUAAAGGAUAAAAUUUAACAGGCCACUUGUAUUUUUUCUUCAAAUGAAUAAGAAUCCUCUAAGGAACUGAGGUCUAAUGGCCAAAGAAAUGAGCCACCAAGAAAAAAUGGUAUCCCCAAAUACAAGGAGAAACUUACCCAAAGAGAAUGGUUAAACUUCAUCUGUUGAGCAGAGGUCAAGUCAGAUAAUGCCUGUGAACUACUCGGUGGACUGAGAAACAAAAUGGUACUUUAUGACCUUUAAAACUGGUAUUUUUAGUUGGGAUAAAAUAUUGCAAUUGGUUGAAGAAUAAAGAGGAAGCACAAAUAAGAAACUGGGGAAAGAAAACUUUUUCAUCAGCCAUUGUCUGGAAAGUGAAGCAAGAAACAGAAUGGGGAACAACAAAUUGCUACAGGGAGGUUUUAUUUCUUUUCUUCUAAUAUAUAAGACUUGAGAAUGCCCAAAUGACAAUGUGAAAAAGCCACAGAUGAAGCAAAAGUCCUAAAAACCAGGAAUGGGAUAUCCAGAGCCUGGGACAAGAUGAUGAUCACGUUUUUCAAAGGAAUGGGUAUCAAUGAAGAAAUCUUUCGAGAAAAGUGUUUCUAAAAAAGCCUCCAACUCUCCAAGAUGCAUCAUAUAAAGGUACAAGUUCCCAAUGAGAAAUGUAAAUGUAUUGUAUACCUAAAAUGUACCAA